rfam:Toxocara canis scaffold1414, whole genome shotgun sequence.
GAGGCAGUAGGUAAGCGGUAGAGCACCCGCUUCGUAUGCGGGGAGACCUGCAUUCGAUUCCUGGCUGCUUCU